UACGGAGGGUGCAAGCGUUAUCCGGAUUCACUGGGUUUAAAGGGUGCGUAGGUGGGCUGGUAAGUCAGUGGUGAAAUCUCCAGGCUUAACUUGGAAACUGCCAUGGAUACUAUUUGUCUUGAAUAUUGUGGAGGUAAGCGGGAAUAUGUCAUGUAGCGGUGAAAUGCUUAGAUAUGACAUAGAACACCUAUUGCGAAGGCAGCUUACUACGCAUAUAUUGACGCUGAGGCACGAAAGCGUGGGGAUCAAAACAGG
rnacentral:rRNA from 1 species